UAGGGAUGCCUGACGUCAAGGGGCGGGGUCCUGGCUGUGAAUGGGAGUCGGCACGUUGAAGUCCGGUCUUUUUAGUCCAGGGAUGCGGCGGAGUUGGGCCUUGAGCCGGCAGGUUUCCGAGGCUCGGUUCCCCGGGAAGCGGUGGCUGGUGGCUGGCCUGGGGAACCACGGAAUGCCCGGCACCCGGCACAGUGUGGGCAUGGCGGUGCUGGGGCAAAUAGCAAGGCGACUGGGAGUGGCGGAGAAUUGGACUCGUGACUCGCGCUGUGCUGCUGACCUCGCCCUGGCCCCGCUCGGGGAUGCUCAGCUGGUACUGCUCCGGCCGCGGCGCCUCAUGAACGUCAACGGGCGCAGCGUAGCCCGAGCUGCUGUUUGGGCUGACUGCGGAGGAGAUCUAUCUGGUCCAUGAUGAACUGGACAAGCCGUUGGGAAAGCUGGCUCUGAAGCUGGGGGGCAGCGCAAGGCUGGGCUGCUCUGAAGAAGGCCUGGGCAAGGGAAUGGAGGAAGGGCACUGCCUCAGAAAGUACUAACUGCUCUUCAUAUCCCCUCAAGGGGCCAUAAUGGAGUCCGUUCCUGCAUUAGCUGUCUGAACUCCAAUGCAAUGCCAAGGCUGCUGGUGGGCAUCGGGCGCCCCACACACCCUAAUAUGGUGGAGAACCAUGUCCUGGGCUGUUUCUCCCCGGAGGAGCAGGAGCUACUGUCCCCAUUGAUGGAUCAGGCCACUGACCUGCUCCUGGACCACAUCCGUGCUCGAAGCCAGGGACCAUUGUCAGGCCUCUAAUACCAGUGGAUAUAUCUACCUGUUUGACUGCCUGCCGGUGCCAUGAAGCCAAGACAGGGCCACAGAACUGCAAUGACACAGUGGUACCCAAUGUUUAUAUAACUUCCCUGGGUUUCCCCAGGCUACUUGCAGAUUCAAGGAGGGACUGUGGCCACAUCAGUCUGUUUCUGCAGCAGCUUGGUCUCCCCGUUCGCUAUUUGCGGUGUAGGAAAGGUCUAGGAAGGGUAAACUUUCUGAACCUUUUGAGAGCUCCAGAUGGGUAGAUCUGCAAGAUUAAAGAUACGAACUUGAAA